GUGCUCGCUUCAGGAGCACAAGUACUAAAAUUGGAACCAUACAGAGAAGACUAGCAUGGCCCCUGCAUGAGGAUGACACACAAAUUUGUGAAGUGUUCCAUAUUCUU
ensembl:snRNA U6 U6 spliceosomal RNA